UACGGGGGGGGCAAGCGUUGUUCGGAAUUACUGGGCGUAAAGGGCUCGUAGGCGGCCAACUAAGUCGGAUGUGAAAUCCCCAGGCUCAACCUGGGAACUGCAUCCGAUACUGGAUGGCUUGAAUUCGGGAGAGGGAUGCAGAAUUCCAGGUGUAGCGGUGAAAUGCGUAGAUAUCUGGAGGAAUACCGGUGGCGAAGGCGGCAUCCUGGACCGACAUUGACGCUGAUGAGCGAAAGCUAGGGGAGCGAACAGG
rnacentral:rRNA from 1 species